AUACGGAGGAUGCAAGCGUUAUCCGGAUUCAUUGGGUUUAAAGGGUGCGCAGGCGGAUUGGUAAGUCAGGGGUGAAAUCCCACAGCUCAACUGUGGAACUGCCUUUGAUACUGUCAGUCUAGAGUAUAGUUGAAGUUGGCGGAAUGUGUCAUGUAGCGGUAGAAAUGCUUAGAUAUGACACAGAACACCGAUCGCGAAGGCAGCUGACUAAGCUAUAACUGACGCUCAUGCAACGAAAGCGGU
rnacentral:rRNA from 1 species